GCGCCCGUAGCUCAGCUGGAUAGAGCGCUGCCCUCCGACGGCAGAGGUCGUAGGUUCGACUCCUACCGGGCGCGCCA
rnacentral:tRNA from 1 species